GACGAACGCUGGCGGCGUGCUUAACACAUGCAAGUCGAACGCUGAAGCUUGGUGCUUGCACUGGGUGGAUGAGUGGCGAACGGGUGAGUAAUACGUGAGUAACCUGCCCUUGACUCUGGGAUAAGCCUGGGAAACUGGGUCUAAUACUGGAUACGACAUGUCACCGCAUGGUGGUGUGUGGAAAGGGUUUUACUGGUUUUGGAUGGGCUCACGGCCUAUCAGCUUGUUGGUGGGGUAAUGGCUCACCAAGGCGACGACGGGUAGCCGGCCUGAGAGGGUGACCGGCCACGCUGGGACUGAGACACGGCCCAGACUCCUACGGGAGGCAGCAGUGGGGAAUAUUGCACAAUGGGCGGAAGCCUGAUGCAGCGACGCCGCGUGAGGGAUGACGGCCUUCGGGUUGUAAACCUCUUUCAGCACGGAAGAAGCGAAAGUGACGGUACGUGCAGAAGAAGCGCCGGCUAACUACGUG
rnacentral:rRNA from 1 species